GAUGAACGCUGGCGGCGUGCCUAAUACAUGCAAGUCGAGCGAACAGACGAGGAGCUUGCUCCUCUGACGUUAGCGGCGGACGGGUGAGUAACACGUGGAUAACCUACCUAUAAGACUGGGAUAACUUCGGGAAACCGGAGCUAAUACCGGAUAACAUGUUGAACCGCAUGGUUCAACAGUGAAAGACGGUCUUGCUGUCACUUAUAGAUGGAUCCGCGCCGCAUUAGCUAGUUGGUAAGGUAACGGCUUACCAAGGCAACGAUGCGUAGCCGACCUGAGAGGGUGAUCGGCCACACUGGAACUGAGACACGGUCCAGACUCCUACGGGAGGCAGCAGUAGGGAAUCUUCCGCAAUGGGCGAAAGCCUGACGGAGCAACGCCGCGUGAGUGAAGAAGGUCUUCGGAUCGUAAAACGCUGUUAUUAGGGAAGAACAAAUGUGUAAGUAACUAUGCACGUCUGGACGGUACCUAAUCAGAAAGCCACGGCUAACUACGU
rnacentral:rRNA from 1 species